rfam:Gossypium arboreum cultivar AKA8401 contig_29273_1, whole genome shotgun sequence.
AAUAGGAGAAUGACAAAUCAUAUUUUUCUUUCUGAUUUGCAGUCUUUUCCUCCUAAAAAGUUCAAAUCCAACUAAGAAUGCUAAAAAUCAAGAGGAAAAAUCUGACUUGUCAUUCUCCUAUU